rnacentral:tRNA from 1 species
GGGAAGGUGGCUCAGUGGUAGAGCGCUUGCCUUGCAUGCAUGAGGCCGUGGGUUUGAUUCCUCAGAACCCA